CGACCAAGGUUCGACUCGAGCGCCAGCGAGAGAGCGUUGCCGCAGGCAACGACCCGAAGGGCGAAGCGCGCAGCGCUGAGUAAUCCUUCCCCCACCACCA
rnacentral:sRNA from 1 species